rnacentral:rRNA from 2 species
CCUGGCGACAAUAGCGCGGUGGUCCCACCUGACCCCAUGCCGAACUCAGAAGUGAAACGUCGUAGCGCCGAUGGUAGUGUGGGGUCUCCCCAUGUGAGAGUAGGGAAUCGCCAGGC